rnacentral:rRNA from 1 species
AUUGAACGCUGGCGGCAUGCUUUACACAUGCAAGUCGAACGGUAACAGGCCUUCGGGUGCUGACGAGUGGCGAACGGGUGAGUAAUGCAUCGGAACGUACCCAGAGGUGGGGGAUAACGCAGCGAAAGCUGUGCUAAUACCUCAUGUGAUCUGAGGAUGAAAGCGGGGGACCGAGCAGCAAUGUUUGGCCUCGCGCCUUUGGAGCGGCCGAUGUCGGAUUAGCUAGUUGGUGGGGUAAAGGCCUACCAAGGCGACGAUCCGUAGCUGGUCUGAGAGGACGACCAGCCACACUGGAACUGAGACACGGCCCAGACUCCUACGGGAGGCAGCAGUGGGGAAUUUUGGACAAUGGGCGCAAGCCUGAUCCAGCAAUGCCGCGUGCGGGAAGAAGGCCUUCGGGUUGUAAACCGCUUUUGGCAGGAACGAAACGGUGUCCGCUAAUACCGGGCGGUAAUGACGGUACCCGCAGAAUAAGCACCGGCUAACUACGUG